rnacentral:tRNA from 2 species
GGCACUAUGGCGGAGUGGUUAUCGCGUGGCACUAGAAUCGGUUGCAUUCUAGAGUAAGCAUCCUACUCACCAAACAAUACAGUGUAUGCCAUUCCCUCUGGGAGCGCAGGUUCAAAUCCUGCUGGUGUCG